rnacentral:misc_RNA from 1 species
UUAAGUUCAGCGGGUAUCCCUACCUGAUCCGAGGUCAACCGAUAAAAUAAUGUUCAAGGCAAGCGUCCAGGUGGCUUGAAAAGCGGUAUCGAGAUUACUACGCUCCAAGUCUACACUGGGCUCCGCCAAUGAUUUUGAGAUCAAUCCACACAAUGCGGGAUAUAGAUCCAAUUCCAAGCUAGGCUUGAGGGUUGUAAUGA